rnacentral:rRNA from 1 species
GACGAACGCUGGCGGCGUGCUUAACACAUGCAAGUCGAACGGAAAGGCCCUGCUUUUGUGGGGUGCUCGAGUGGCGAACGGGUGAGUAACACGUGAGUAACCUGCCCUUGACUUUGGGAUAACUUCAGGAAACUGGGGCUAAUACCGGAUAGGAGCUCCUGCUGCAUGGUGGGGGUUGGAAAGUUUCGGCGGUUGGGGAUGGACUCGCGGCUUAUCAGCUUGUUGGUGGGGUAGCGGCUUACCAAGGCUUUGACGGGUAGCCGGCCUGAGAGGGUGACCGGCCACAUUGGGACUGAGAUACGGCCCAGACUCCUACGGGAGGCAGCAGUGGGGAAUAUUGCACAAUGGGCGGAAGCCUGAUGCAGCAACGCCGCGUGCGGGAUGACGGCCCUCGGGUUGUAAACCGCUUUCGCCUGUGACGAAGCGUGAGUGACGGUAAUGGGUAAAGAAGCACCGGCUAACUACGUG